rnacentral:rRNA from 1 species
GACGAACGCUGGCGGCGUGCUUAACACAUGCAAGUCGAACGGAAAGGCACUGCUUUUUUGGGGUGCUCGAGUGGCGAACGGGUGAGUAACAAGUGAGUAACCUACCCUUGAUUUUGGGAGAACUUCAGGAAACUGGGGCUAAUACCUGAUAGGAGCUCCUGCUGCAUGGUGUGGAUUGGAAAUUUUCGGCGGUUGGGGAUGGAUGGGGGGCUAAUCAGCUUGUUGGUGGGGGAGUGGCUUCCCAAGGCUUGGACGGGUAGCCGGCCUGGGAGGGUGACCGGGCACAGUGGGACUGAGGGAGGGACCAGAGGGCAACGUGAGGCAGGGGUGGGAAACAUUGCACAAUGGGCCGAAGCAGGAUGCAGCAGCGUCGGGUUCGGGAUGACGGUUUGUGGGGAGUAAAGCGCUUUCGGCUAAGACGCAGCGGGAGUGACGGUACCGGAUAAAGAAGCAACGGCUAACUACGUG